CCCAAUGUGGAAUUCGCCCUUAGAGUUUGUCCUGGCUCAGAACGAACGCUGGCGGCGUGCUUAAUACAUGCAAGUCGCGCGAGAAAGUUUGGCUUCGGCCGAGCGAGUAAAGCGGCGAACGGGUGAGUAACGCGUGGAUAAUCUGCCCUUAAGUCUGGGAUAAUUCUCCGAAAGGGGUUGUAAUACCGGGUAAUGUUCCGGAACGGCAUCGUUCUGGAAUCAAAGGCGGGGUAACCUGUCGCUUAGGGAUGAAUCCGCGCUCCAUUAGCUUGUUGGUAGGGUAACGGCCUACCAAGGCUGCGAUGGAUAGCCGGCCUGAGAGGGUGAUCGGCCACACUGGGACUGAGAUACGGCCCAGACUCCUACGGGAGGCAGCAGUAGGGAAUAUUGCGCAAUGGACGCAAGUCUGACGCAGCAACGCCGCGUGGGUGAUGAAGCUUUUUGGAGUGUAAAACCCUGUCAGUGGGGAAGAAACUCACGGGAAGUAACUGUCCCGUGCCUGACGGUACCCACAGAGGAAGUCCCGGCUAACUCCGUGCCAGCAGCCGCGGUAAUACGGGGGGGACAAGCGUUGUUCGGAUUUACUGGGCGUAAAGGGCGCGUAGGCGGACCCUCAAUUCGGAUGUGAAAACUGGCAGCUUACUGCCAAGCCUGCAUCCCAUACUGUGGGUCUUGAGUACGGGAGAGGAGAGUGGAAUUCCAGGUGUAGCGGUGAAAUGCGUAGAUAUCUGGAAGAACACCAGUAGCGAAGGCGGCUCUCUGGACCGAUACUGACGCUAAAGCGCGAAGGCUUGGGGAGCAAACAGGAUUAGAUACCCUGGUAGUCCAAGCGGUAAACGAUGGGUACUAGGUGUCGGGGGUAUCGACCCCCUCGGUGCCGGAGCUAACGCAUUAAGUACCCCGCCUGGGGAGUACGGUCGCAAGAUUGAAACUCAAAGGAAUUGACGGGGGCCCGCACAAGCGGUGGAGUAUGUGGUUUAAUUCGAAGCAACGCGCAGAACCUUACCUGGGUUUGACAUGCUUGGGACCGUCGGUGAAAGCCGGCUUCCCCUUCGGGGGCCCUUGCACAGGUGCUGCAUGGCUGUCGUCAGCUCGUGCCGUGAGGUGUUGGGUUAAGUCCCGCAACGAGCAAGGGCGAAUUCCACAGUG
rnacentral:rRNA from 1 species